rnacentral:rRNA from 1 species
CCUACGGGAGGCAGCAGUGGGGAAUAUUGCACAAUGGGGGAAACCCUGAUCCAGCGACGCCGCGUGAAUGAAGAAGUAUUUCGGUAUGUAAAGUUCUAUCAGCAGGGAAGAAAAUGACGGAACCUGACUAAGAAUCCCCGGCUAACUACGUGCCAGCAGCCGCGGUAAUACGUUGGGGGCAAGCUUUAGCCGGUUUUAAUGGGGGGAAUGGGAGCGUAGGCGGUUUAGCAAGUCAGAAGUGAAAGCCCGGCGCUCAAACCCGGGACAGCUUUUGAAACUGUUGAACUAGAUUGCAGGAGAGGUAAGUGGAAUUCCUAGUGUAGCGGUGAAAUGCGUAGAUAUUAGGAGGAACACCAGUGGCGAAGGCGGCUUACUGGACUGUAAAUGACGCUGAGGCUCGAAAGCGUGGGGAGCAAACAGGAUUAGAUACCCCAGUAGUC